UUUCUCUUUCCGGCCUCCCUCCCCUUUCUCUCUCUCGGACCCGCGGGACCACAAUGCUCUGCGCCUCUUGUCAUUGGGAGACGCCGUAAAGUGGGGGUCACUCGGAAAGAAAAAGGGGAAGGGGCGGGGCGAACAGGGAAGAGGUCCUGAGGCUGCCUAAUAGGGCUUGGACGUUAGCUUUCAACUAAACGGUUUAUUUUGUGGUCUGUGAGUUUGCGGAUGUUCCUAGAUUGAUUUAAAGUAACAUUCUAUAAGUGCCUUUCUACAACACUCAGUCCUAAUGAUAAAAAAGAGAAAAGUAGAAAUGGAGGAGAGCUUUUCAACUUUAUAACAUCUACAGAAGACAACAGCCAGCAUGGCACUUGAUGUUAAGGUGGCUUCCAUAUAAGAUUAAGGACAACUCAGGAAACUGUGAAGCCGGGCUCUCCUCUACCAUUGGCAGAAGGGACAAAGGGCUAUCUGUGGUAGCCAUUAGCAUACCAGAGUGCCCCCAGAUCUCUCAGUAUCACAGAACAGAAUUCCAUGGAUAACAGAAAAAACCCAAGAGUUGGUGCUGUGUUCCCAACCCUAGUCCAGCACAAACCUACGAGCCAAGGCAGCCAGUAUUUGGCCAUUCGUCCAUCCAUCUGCAUAUCCCAGGGAUGCACGAACAGAGAACAGUUCAGCCUCUCGGCCGCCUUCAAUAGAGCAACGAGAAAGAAGUUAUCUGGGGGAGACUGCUUUUCCUCAUCUGAUUCUAUAUUGACCUGAAUAAAUAAGCUUAAAUACUUCUGAAGUUCCUUCUUGA
rnacentral:lncRNA from 1 species